rnacentral:lncRNA from 1 species
GCUUAGUAUGAAGGAGAACACUUUCAGGGGACCAAGUCAGAGAUAAGUCUGCAACCACAGCAAUGGCCCUUUAGAAAGCAUUUAAGAGGCCUGGUGCUUUUUGAGCUGCUUUGAUGACGUGGCAAUGGCUGGAGGGGAAAAGCAGCGGCACAGCUGCCUGCCAUUGGCCUGGUCUUUUUCACUGUGCUCAGUGUUGUCAUCACGAAGCCUCUCAUGCAGCGCGAUGUCAGGAUGGGCCCAUGCGCGGGUGGAAGGCAUGUGGGGGCCAUGUUGCCAGCUGCGGAUGGACAGGCUUCUGAUAUCAGGCUGUGACAGCACUGUCAUCUCCCAAGAAUCCAGCAUCCGUCUGCAUGGAUUGCAUGCCAUCCUUGAAUCCACUCACUUGCCCAGCCCCUGAACCAACUGAUGAAUGUGGUGAAGUCUUCCCUUCGUCACCCCAGGUGCAGCCACAGCCUCUGCAGCCACCCUGGGGGAGAGACAGCUCCAGGACCUGCUAAGGUGAGGUGUUCUGGAAGGGUCUCUGCUCCUAGCAGUCACUGGCAGCUUGCCCAAAUUGGAGAAGUUUAACAUCUCUUUUCUCUGAGAAGUAAAAUGUGUUUCUUUGGUGGAUGUGAAACCAACAAACCACUGUGGUGCCUCUCUACAUCUGAAGGAUGAGCCAGCCAAGCCAGGGGAACUGACGACCCCACACACGUCUGCACUGCUGUGGCCGUGUUGAACACGGACUCCUUCUUCAGGGCAGCCUUGGGCCAUCGGAGGGCUGCUGUAUGCAGUGACGGCCACCAAGUGUCCUUGGCCAGGGGAGUGAUUUACAGGGACUGAGAUCCUGACUUGUGACCCAGACACGAAUGCAUCCUUGUUCCAUUUUGUUAUUGCUCAACCGUCAUCUGGCCAUCCCCAAAGCCCACCUCUGUGAGAAAGGCCAGUGCUUGUCCUCGUGACACCCCUGAGACCUCGAUGGAGCAAGUCCCAGGGCCCAUCAUACAUUUUUAAAGAAAAUCUUCUUUUGGUGAGAAGAUCAAAGGGCCAGGCAGAAAUGGAAAAGCACUUUCUGGCAUCAGACUUCCUCUGACUUCUCCGGUUGCCACACCACUGAAAGACUGCCCCACAGUGCGAGGGACGUCCACAUCUGCCUGGCUCUCCGAGGGAUGAACAGCCUUCAGUUCAGCUUCCUGUCACACCCCAAAAUCCACCAGGGCUCUGCAGUCAUAGAGCCCUGGAACCCAGAGGUGGAAACUUAAAGGAAUGAGUGCUCUCUCGCUCCAAAACCACAGAUAUCUGGUCCAUAGAGAACCCACCACACUUGUAUACAUUUUCAUACGUCUGCGCACAUACACAAAUGCACAAACACAUGUUCAGCUGUUGAUAAUCAUCUGAUCUUUUGCUCUUUCGAUGUAAAUAUGGCCAGAUAUCUCUGGCUUUAAUUCUCAUUAAAAUUUUGAAAGUUAUACUUUC